UAUCAGUGAUCUCUCUACCUAUCAUCAUCCUAUUAUCCGAGGAAAGGAAAAGAAACAGUGCAGAUCUCUUUUCUUUACGGAAAUGGGUCUGUGCUCACGAGAGCUUCUGCUUCUUGCUUUGGUGAUCUCAAGCUUGCAUCCUCUCGUGGCGGUGAGGCCUUUGGACGGAGAGUGGUUGCCGGAGAACGUUGGGCUCUUGUUGGAGUCUCUUCCUAAGGGGUCGUCACAGUCUUCUAAGGCAUCAGGCUGCACCAGUAACACCAACAACCAUAGCGGAACUUGUCCCCAUUCUUAGCAAUGGAAUUGUGAUGGGCCUGGAGUUGAGUCUAUUUUCCCUUGAUCCUUCGGAAGCUCCCAUCUAAAGGAUGGAAGCCUUGAGCAUGCAUUUUAUGGCACCUCUCCUAUUUUCCCUUCUUCUUCUUCUUCUUCUUCUUUUUCUUUUUUUUCUUUUCCUUUUUCACAUGGCUUAUGCAUUUUUUUUUUCUAAUUGUAUUCUUUAUUUAUUUGCAUGGGAUAUAGCCGUGCAAUUGAAUUAAUAGAGAACAUGUACCAGUUUCUGCUCUUUUGUUGUUGAAGGGG
rnacentral:lncRNA from 1 species